AACGAGGCCUGAAGUACAAAAAAAACCCGGAUAGAGAUAAGGUUUUUUCUCCUGUGCAGUUUCCGAUCACUAGUAAAUCGUAACUGCCUCCGCCUCUCGGGCUCGCCGGCCACGAGCGCGGGGCGGCCACGGGCACGGCCGGGCGGCCGGGCGCGGGGCGCGGCCCGACGCGGGCGGCGGCCGGGCUGACGGGGAUGGCCGAGGCGGCGAGUACCGUCUCGGCGCAGCCGGCGCUGUGGCCGCAUCCAACGGCGCGAUGGCCGUGUCCUGCGGGCAAGCGAGGGCGGAGCGCGGCGCGUGGCCGGGCACGGGGCGCGGCACGGGACUCGACGGGCGUGGCGCGGCGCGUUGGCCACCGCUGCAGUCUGGUACCGCAUGUGCGCGAGCGCCGCAGUCAACGGCAAGCGAGAUAGGCUCGUCAGCCGGAAGAAGGAACGCUGCGUCGGCCGCUGGCCGUCUUCACCCCAAUAUGAGUUGGGGCUGCAGAUGAGCCGCGCUGGGAGGUUCCACGCCAAGGUCGAAGGCCAUCGUCGUGUGAUGUUCUUCCCGCUCCUGCAUGUCUGAAGGCAGCCGCUGCGUGCGCAGCCCAGGGAUGUGCCAGGAGGCCGAAAAUUAAGAUCGCCACAGACUGGGACGGCGGGACCGUCGGAAUUGCUGCCUCCGUUGUCGAAGACGUUGCCACGCGUCGGGCGUCGCUGCAAACAUUGGAUGGAAGUCUGUGCAUCAAAUGCUGUCGUUGCUCCAUGUCCUUGGCCGUCCCCUCCGUAACAGCCAUGUCGGGAUGGCCUAGUCACUCUCUGCGGAGAAACUAAAGUGCUGAUAACGUGUUAGAAAGGGAAACGAGAGACAAUCGAGAGAGCCUUGGAACACAUGUAAAAGUGAAUCCUUGUUCUCAUUGAUGAUGGGUUACACAUAU